UAAUACGUAGGGGGCGAGCGUUGUCCGGAUUCAUUGGGCGUAAAGAGCUCGUAGGCGGUUUCGUAAGUCGGGUGUGAAAACCCCAGGCUCAACCUGGGGACGCCACCUGAUACUGCGAUGACUUGAGUCUGGUAGGGGACCACGGAAUUCCUGGUGUAGCGGUGAAAUGCGCAGAUAUCAGGAGGAACACCGGUGGCGAAGGCGGUGGUCUGGGCCAGUACUGACGCUGAGGAGCGAAAGCGUGGGUAGCAAACAGG
rnacentral:rRNA from 1 species